CACGUAGGGCGCAAGCGUUGUCCGGAAUUAUUGGGCGUAAAGAGCUCGUAGGCGGUCCGUCACGUCCGCUGUGAAAACCCAGGGCUCAACCCUGGGCUUGCAGUGGAUACGGGCAGACUAGAGGUAGGUAGGGGAGAAUGGAAUUCCCGGUGUAGCGGUGAAAUGCGCAGAUAUCGGGAGGAACGACCGGUGGCGAAGGCGGUUCUCUGGCCUUACCUGACGCUGAGGAGCGAAAGCGUGGGGAGCGAACAGG
rnacentral:rRNA from 1 species